GAUGAACGCUAGCGGGAGGCCUAACACAUGCAAGCCGAGCGGUAUUGUUUCUUCGGAAAUGAGAGAGCGGCGUACGGGUGCGUAACACGUGUGCAACCUGCCUUUAUCUGGGGGAUAGCCUUUCGAAAGGAAGAUUAAUACUCCAUAAUAUAUUGAACGGCAUCGUUUAAUAUUGAAAGCUCCGGCGGAUAGAGAUGGGCACGCGCAAGAUUAGCUAGUUGGUGAGGUAACGGCUCACCAAGGCGAUGAUCUUUAGGGGGCCUGAGAGGGUGAUCCCCCACACUGGUACUGAGACACGGACCAGACUCCUACGGGAGGCAGCAGUGAGGAAUAUUGGGCAAUGGGUGCAAGCCUGAACCAGCCAUCCCGCGUGAAGGACGACUGCCCUAUGGGUUGUAAACUUCUUUUGGAUAGGGAUAAACCUACCCUCGAGAGGGUAGCUGAAGGUACUAUACGAAUAAGCACCGGCUAACUCCGUG
rnacentral:rRNA from 1 species